UUAUUUCAUAAAAGAGUGUUUAUCCCCUACUAAAUUUUUCUUCCCUUACAUGGUAAAGCAUUCAAAAAUAUCUAAUUUUAUUAAUAGUUACACAAACUAAACUAAUCAUUUAACUUCUAUCUGAUAGCACUAGGAAAUAGGUUUUGCCUAAAAAGAAAUGACAAAUUUGGUUUUAUAAAGUCAAUAGGAUCUGCAAUAAGAGUGAAACAAAAUAAAAAUCCAGGAAUAUAGAAUUCAAGAAAACUAUAUCCAAUACCUAUAAGGUUGCUUUGCAGUGUGGAUUAUAUAAAAGUUUUACCGUACACAGUUACUAGAAAAACAAUGAUGUACAAAGUGACAAGAAAAUACAACAAAUCUAAGUUGACAUUAUCAAAGAAAAAACCAAGAAGUAACUCCUAAAACAUAAAUCUCUCACCAACUUUUAUGAGUUCAAACUUGAUCAGAGCCCUUACAACAUACUAGCAAACAUGAUAUCGUGACCCAAAAAGAGUUUCCGCUUGCUGAAAUAGCAAAGAAAAUCUUUCGGAGCCAGUGGCGGAUCUUGGAAUAUUUUAUGCGGGGUGCCAGAAUUGUAUGAAAUAUAUAUUAAACUGUGUGAAAGAAAUAUCAUAACUGUUAACUGGUCUAGUGGUUUAUUUUGCUUGAUAGCAGAGUAGGGGAUGCCAGUUUGAAUCCACAUAAGGAGCUUUUUUUUUUUUGAACAAAAUAGUAAAAAUAUAACAUAAAUAUAAAGAGGAUGGAAGAGUCGAACCCGCGACCUACGCAAGAAAAACAAAAAUCAAUUCCACAGCGCCAUUUGCGUAGUUGUAACACAAUUAUGCCUAAUUUAAUAUAUAUAUAUAUAUAUAUAUAUAUAGGGGGUACCAUGGCACCUGCAGGUCCCUAUGAAGAUCCGCCACUGUUCGGAGCCAUUAUUCGCAAUGACGGCCUUGCAAAUACCAUCGACUCAAUAAUAAUGUUAGUAGCCACUUUAUUACAACCCCUUAAAUUCUGAUCUCUCUCAAUUGUGUGCAAUUUUCUACUACCCUACUAAUGCCCAACACUUUCACAGCGCAUUGUGUUUCAAAAUAAGUCGUGGAUUGAAUUGGGCCGCGAGAAAAUUGCGAGGAACCGAAUUGGGUUUCACUAUAAUUACACCGAAAAAUCAACAUGUAUAACUCCCAGAAAUUAAACCAAUUCCAAACUAAUAAUAUAACAAUUAUCAGUAUCUUAUUCUAAAUACAAAAUAACGCGUAAUCAAUAGCAAACACGAGUAAAAGAUAUAAGAAACAUAUUCCAGAAUUGAAAAAGACUAGAGAAAUAAAUAUAAAAUCAAAGGCUUGAAUUUCAACUACUGAAAAAAAAAUCAACAAAAAUCGAUGAAACACAAACCUUUGAAAGCAGAAUCUGAGAAAAACUGGGAAAAGAAAGUGAAGAAAAUCGAAUCGAUUGAAACGAAGAGUGUUUGUGUAUGUAUUUUGUGGAAUCGAAACCCUUCCUUUUAGCUUUAAAACAGUGUCUCUAAAAAAAAAACUUUUAAACGGUGCGUUUCAGAGAGGACUCCAGAGAGAGGGGAUCGAACAAAUUGAUUUGGUAAACCAAUUU
rnacentral:lncRNA from 1 species